AUGAGAGCAUCCCAGGACCACUGAACAUUCAGAGGCGUGGUCUGACUCUUGGGGCCAGAGUUGCAUUGAUGGCACUUGAGAGACUAAUACAUAAUCCAGAGCUCCAAAUGUACACUGUGAAAUAAAACUGCCAAGACUAGGAGAGGAAAUUAUCUCCAGGAAAAAUGCCAUGCAUGACCAGGGUUAAUGAUAUGGAACACACCCCACAAAGAUGCUUUGCCUUUGGGUACCAGGACUUCAAAUCCUACACAAUGAAGGAGACUUGAAGACAUCGCCCAGAAGGUAGAGCUUCAAAUCCUGUUCUAGGGCCCAGAAGCAGAGACUCAGCCUGCCUGCACCCAGGUGAAAUAAACAGCAUUUUUGCUCACACAUAGCCUGUUUGGUGGUCUCUUCACAUGGAUGCGCAUGAAAUUUGGUGCUGUGACUCGGAUCCGGAGACCUCCCUUGGGAGAUAAAAUCCCCUGUCCUCCUGCUCUUUGCUCCGUGAAAAAGAUCCACCUACGACCUCAAGUCCUCAGACCCACCAGCCCAAGGAACAUCUCACCAAUUUUAAAUCAGCAAAAUGACAUGAAUGACUGAAAAAGCAUGUGGAGCACAAGACUCAAGAACUAAGUGAAAGGACUCACACUUCCUGAUUUCAAGUAAAGCUACAGCAAUCAAGACGUGGCAUUGAUGUAAGAAUAGACACAUCAAUGAAUGAAACAGAAUACAUCUUCCAGAAAUAAAUUCACACAAAUAUAGUCAAGAGGUUUUUUGUGUGCUAAAGUGUAUAUAAUAUUUACCAUUUUAACCAUUUUUAAGUGCACAGUUCAGAAGCAUUAAGAAUAAACAAUGUUGUAUAACCAUCACCAUUAUCCAGUUCCAGAAUUUUUCAUCACCUCACACAGAAACUCUGUACCUAUUAUCAACAAUAAAUUUUCAUUCCCCCCUUGCCCUCAGUCUCUGGUAACCACUAUUGAACUUUCUGUUUCUAUGAAUUUGCCCCUUCUCAGUGCCUAAUAUGAGUGGAAUAAUACAAUAUGGGUCCUUUGUGCCUAGUUUAUUUCACUUACUGUAAUGUUUUCAAGGUUCAUCCAUGUUAUAAUAUGGAUCAGAAUUUUAUUUCUUUUCAAGCAUGAAUAAUAGUCCAUGGUAUGUCUAUACCACAUUGUUUAUCCAUUCAUCAGCUGAUGGAUAUUUGGGGGUUGUUUCUAUCUUUUGGCUAUUGUAAAUGAUGAUGUUAUGAACAAUGGUGUAUAAUGUCUGUUUGAGCACUGCUUUGAAUUGUUUGGGGUAUAUACUUAGGAGCGGAAUUACUGGAUCAUAUGUCAAUUCUAUGUUUAAUUUUUGAGGAACUGUCGAGCUGUCUUUCACAGCAGCUGCAUAAUUUUACAUUCCCACCACAAUGCAUAAGAGCUUCAGUUUCUCAAAAUCUUUACCAACAUUUAUUUUUCUUUUUAAAAAUAUAUAAUAGCCAUACUAAUAGUAUAAAGUAAUAUUUCAUUGUGCAUUUGAUUUGCAUUUCCCUAAUGAUAACUGAUGUUGAGCAUCUUUUCACGUGCUUGUUGACCAUUUGUAUAUCUUCUUUUGAGAUAUGUCUAAUCAAGUCCUUUGUCCAUUUUUUAAUUGGGCUGGGUAUUAUUCUUCUGUUAUUGUUGAGUUGCAGGAGUUCUUUAUAUAUUCUGCAUAAAAGUUCCUUA
ensembl:lncRNA LINC00836 long intergenic non-protein coding RNA 836